rnacentral:rRNA from 1 species
AGUGAACGCUGGCGGUAGGCCUAACACAUGCAAGUCGAACGGCAGCACAGUAAGAGCUUGCUCUUACGGGUGGCGAGUGGCGGACGGGUGAGGAAUACAUCGGAAUCUACUUUUUCGUGGGGGAUAACGUAGGGAAACUUACGCUAAUACCGCAUACGACCUUCGGGUGAAAGCAGGGGAUCUUCGGACCUUGCGCGAUUGAAUGAGCCGAUGUCGGAUUAGCUAGUUGGCGGGGUAAAGGCCCACCAAGGCGACGAUCCGUAGCUGGUCUGAGAGGAUGAUCAGCCACACUGGAACUGAGACACGGUCCAGACUCCUACGGGAGGCAGCAGUGGGGAAUAUUGGACAAUGGGCGCAAGCCUGAUCCAGCCAUACCGCGUGGGUGAAGAAGGCCUUCGGGUUGUAAAGCCCUUUUGUUGGGAAAGAAAAGCAGCAGGUUAAUACCCCGCUAUUCUGACGGUACCCAAAGAAUAAGCACCGGCUAACUUCGUG